AAUGCAGUCAAAGCGCCCUCUCGGCGCCCGCCGACGGAGCGCACACCCAGCGGUCUGAGGGCAGCGGCCUCGGCCUCCUAGCAGGCCCGCCUCACCCCGGGGACCCGCCAGCCCUCCAGCUCUGCCCCCGCCGCCUCCUGGGACCUGAGCACACACGAGACGGCCCACCGCAACGGGAAAAGGGAAGAGAACCCCCCCCCCACACACACACACAAAACUUCUGUCGCAGAGCCUUUCUCUACUGGCCCAAGGGCGCCGUGAGAAACCCCGACGAGCCCGGGGCACCCGCGCCGCCCCUAGUAAAGAUGGCGGCCACAGGCGCAGCCGCUCCCUCCCCGUGCGGUUGGCGGCCCCUCGGUCCACAGCCGUUCACGCGGAAGCCCUCCACGCCCACCGCGGCUUGACGCAUUGCAGGUGCGGCGGGACCAAUCAGGCGCCUCGACUCUUUCCGGCCAACCACUGCAGGGUCGCGCUGGCCAAUCAGAGCGCCCUUCUCUGAUUGAGCGAGGAAAGCGGCCUCGGCAGCGCCAGCUAAGCAACCGGCUCCAGGGCAGCGCGUUUUGGAGGCUGUGAGUCGCGGUCCGUGUGCUCCUCCGCCGGGAGAUAUAGUGCCCCCGCCCCGCCCCGCCCCGCCCCGCGAGCGCGCGCGCUUGAACAGCUUCAGCGCGAGGCUCGGCGGUCGUCUGGCUCCCGGAGCGGCGGGAGGCGAGUAGUUCUAGAGAGGACUGGGUUCCUUUGCCUUGUUCUUGGCCCUCCGAGGGGCACUCUCGAGCCGUCCUCGCCCUGCCUCCUGGCUCGGUGAGGUCGCGCUCCUGACGGCUCAUCCGACACGUUCUGUCAGGUGCCGCCGGCGAGAUGAGCAAAAACAUCCCCUUGCCUCGAAAGCCUGCCUCGCUUGGCCCCGGAAGGCGACCCUUCCUGUUUACAGGCGGAGGCCCAGCCGCCCGGGAGCGCACUCGCGGGCACCUUUGUUUCAGAGAGACCCGUUUUCGUUUCCCUUACCUGGUUUUUUCUUUUGACCUCUUCCCGCGGGCGCGGGUUUCCCGAGCCGGCCGGGCAGGAGGAGGACGGCCCAGGGGCCGGCCUGGGAGCCCGGGGACAGAACCGACGGUGAGCUCCGGGGCAGACCAAGGGGCAGUGUCUUGAGUCCUGAGGAAAGACUCUCCUAGAUAAGGCUUGGCGAGAUAGCCUGUCAGAUGGGCCAUCAGUUCUGUCAGUUCAGUUGCUCAGUCGUGUCCGACUCCUUGCGACCCCAUGGACUGCAGCAGGCCAGGCCUCCCUGCCUAUCAUCGGAGCUUGCUCAGACUCAUGUCCAUCCAAUCGGUGAUGCCAUCCAACCAUCUGGUACCACAGUCUGCCUAGUGCAGAGUCUGUCUGGGGACCUUUCAUCCUGCUCUGUGCCGUGAGCAGUCUGAGAUCCAGAAACGUCAAUCCACCUUCCUGCAGUCGCCCCGCGCUUGAGGAGCAGAGCAUAGACUAGAAUCCAGGGGAGAAUGUGAGAAGAAAGGCGCCCACCAGUAUUCCUGGUAUAGCUUGAAAACUCUCCUGAAGGCAAAUCUUCCCAGUGGCCAAAAUGAUCCAGUCAUCCUGUGGUGAUGCCUAGAGUUGGUUUAUUAGCCAAUGACUCAGAGUCUCUACUUAGAAUGAAUAAAACUCAAAAGCAUCUUCACUGGACUUGGACAGAGAUAGGCCCAGUUUUUCUGUUGAACAACCUGCCUUUGGCCGAAUUUUCUCCACACAGGAAGCUGGGAAUGGAUCCAGUCUCACGAAAGUGGGGAAAGAACUGCCAAAGAAAGGAAGGCUCAGCCCAGGCACUGGGGAGCCUCUGAAAAGUUCUGAGCAGAGAAGAGACAGGAUGAAACCACACUGGUACUGUGUGCUGGAUGGAUCAGAAGGGCACAAAGUCAUCAGGGGUGAACCAAGAAUAACACAUGUGAGACUAAAAUGGGGGACCCUUAGGAUUCUUGCGGAGAAGGCAAUGGUACCCUACCCAGUACUCUUGCCUGGAAAAUCCCAUGGACGGAGGAGCCUGGUAGGCUAAAGUCCAUGGGGCCGCUAAGAGUCGGACACGACUGAGCGACUUGAC